UACAGAGGGUGCAAGCGUUAAUCGGAAUUACUGGGCGUAAAGCGUGUGUAGGCGGUUUGUUAAGUCGGAUGUGAAAGCCCUGGGCUCAACCUAGGAAUCGCAUUCGAUACUGGCAGGCUAGAGUACGGUAGAGGGUGGCGGAAUUCCGGGUGUAGCGGUGAAAUGCGUAGAUAUCCGGAGGAACACCGAUGGCGAAGGCAACCACCUGGGCCUGUACUGACGCUGAGACACGAAAGCGUGGGGAGCAAAC
rnacentral:rRNA from 1 species